GCCCCUAUGGCGCAGUGGCAACGCGCAACACUUGUAAUGUUGAGAUCCCUAGUUCGAAUCUGGGUGGGGGCU
rnacentral:tRNA from 1 species